UCGUUUUCAUUUCUUCCUCACCGCAGAGAAAAAUAGAGGCAAAGAGCAGUCUAGAGCAGAGGCAGAGAGCUCCAUUCCAUCACCAGAUUCAUCUCCAUUUUCUUCUAUUCUUCUUCUUCAUCAUCUUAUAAUCAACUACUUCAGCACCAAACGACCAUUCAACAUUCUACUUCAACACCUUCGUUGGAGUUGAAGUGAUGUAUGAUGUUGUAUAUGUUGCUGGUGUUAUGGAUAUUGGGAGUAACAAGCUUUAUGUCUCUAAGGACUCCAUUAAAGUGGCAAGUGCAGUUGGAGACUUUGGAUGCCCGCCCUUUCAUGCCAUCAAGAACAACCAUCUUUACUAAAUCUGUUGGAUUUUAUGUGUUAGUUAUUAGAUUUUUUGUUUUAGUUAUCUAUGUUGGAGUGUCGGAUGUAUUUGAUAUUUUAAAACAAUUAGUUUCACAGACAGGUUAGUUUAUAAUUUUCUGUCUUUAGUAAAAUUGUCGGUCAGUUUUGUAAAACUGACGGAAUUUUCAGUUAA